GCCCUUAGAGUUUGAUCCUGGCUCAGAUUGAACGCUGGCGGCAUGCCUAACACAUGCAAGUCGCACGGGGGUAGCGAUACUCUAGUGGCGGACGGGUGAGUAAUGCGUAGGAAUCUGCCCGGCAGUGGGGGACAACUUGGGGAAACCCAAGCUAAUACCGCAUACGCUCGGAAGAGGAAAGCGGGGGAUCGCAAGACCUCGCGCUGUGGGAUGAGCCUACGUCCGAUUAGCUAGUUGGUGGGGUAAAGGCCUACCAAGGCGAUGAUCGGUAGCUGGUCUGAGAGGACGACCAGCCACACUGGGACUGAGACACGGCCCAGACUCCUACGGGAGGCAGCAGUGGGGAAUAUUGGACAAUGGGCGCAAGCCUGAUCCAGCAAUGCCGCGUGGGUGAAGACGGCCUGCGGGUUGUAAAGCCCUUUAGGCGGGGAGGAACGGCGUCGUGUAAACAAUGCGGCGUCCUGACG
rnacentral:rRNA from 1 species